ensembl:lncRNA PCAT1 prostate cancer associated transcript 1
AAAAAAAAAUAACCCAGCCUCAGAGGUGCUUAUUUAGCAAAUUCAACCUUAAACCUGAGUGCAUGGAAACUAUUGAUGCAGUGUCCAAGGUGGAGAAAGGUCAGAGUGGAUCCAGAGGAGCCAAGAGAAGACGUCCAGCAUGGUGACCUGGGCUCAAGUCAAGGUCCUUAUUUCUCUGGUAAGAGCAAGGAUACUAAAACAUGUUUGAGUGCUGAUGAAAUUGAUCCCAUAGAGAGAAAAAUGUUGAGAGUACUGGGGAAAAGGGGGAUAGUUGUAAGAAUGAGGUAUUUUAAAGUGUUAGAAGAAUGAGAUCCAAAGAGCAAGAACUGGCUUGUCUUAGAGAGGAGUAGAGACAGAUCUUCAAUUAUCAUGGGAAGGAAUGUACAGAUGGAGCUAGGGGCAUAGAAUCAGUGGAGGGAAUUGAAGAUAAUGUCUAUUUCAUCUAAUUUUUCAGUAAAGUAUGAAAAUAAAACAUCAGCUCACGGGGAGAGGUCCUGGAGACUUAAGGAGAGAGAAGAUAUGCAAUGAUUAUCUCAGAAAAUGGAAAAGUAAAUCUGCUAUAGAAAUGUUAGAUUAACUGAUAUCUGAGUUAGAUUAUCUGGUAACCAAGUGCACGUGCAAAGUGAGUCCUGCGAGUAAUAUUGUGAUAUUUCAACUUCUCAGGAGCAAGCUCAGACUAAGUGAUUGUUUGGAUUUAUCCAGUAUUUAUCUAGUCAAGAAUGGCAAAAGGAGAGAAAGGAAAGAAAGAUAAGUGGUUUUUCAAGGCACUGAUCUUAAUGAUGGGUCAUAAAUUAUAAGCUGGAAGGUGAGAGAAGUGAAGAUGAGAAGGGAAACAUACAUACAGACAAAGCUGUAGAAGGGUGAGUGGAUUUGAGAUAAUGAUGUCAGUCUCCAGAGGGAAGAUGCCAGAAUGAAUAAGCUACUAGGACAGAAGAGUACUGUAUGCAAGUGGAAUGUACUGAAAUCAAGAUUUUGAAGAUGAUGCAAUUGCUGGAGAUGACAAAUCCUAGGGCAUGACUAUGUGAGUAGGUGGCAGAGGUGGGUGGAGGAAGAAAUGGUCAGAGCUACUAGGCCAAAGAGCUAAAGGGCCAGAGUCAUAGAGAUUCCACCUUCAUGAAUGCUGAAUUUGCCAAGAAUGAUAUCGGACAGAGAGGAGAAGAGGAAGAAGUAAGCCAGACAUUCAAGUUAUCAGUCAGUUAAUAACAACAAAAUAAUUACAGACACUUACAUGGCACUUAAAAUAUACCAAACACCAUUCAGUGUACUUCACGUGUAUUACCUCAUUUAAUCUUCACCUCUACCCUAUCCUCAUUCUAAAGAUGAAUAACCUGGGUCCCAAAGUAUUAAUUAAUCUUUUUUACUGUCAUAACUAGUAAAUGGCAGAGACUGAAUCCAACCUAGGCAAUCUGAUUCCAGGGUCUAUGACCUUGACCAUGAGUUUCCUCUACUGCUCUAAAAAA